rnacentral:lncRNA from 1 species
CUCCUCCCCGCCGGGGUGAAACUCGAGCGCCCCACCCGCGCCUGACCUCCCCGAGCCCCUCCCCGGGCCCCGCCCCUUCCCGGUACAGGACCCCCACCUUCGCUCCUGGGAGCCCCGCUGCACCCCAGGAGUUCCAUUCCAGCCUCCCCAGUGCGAGUGCGGCCGAGCGCUGACUUUUGGGGGCUCCCUCCCCCGUCUCACUGGGUCCCUCUGCGGCUCCCCCGCCCGCUGUCCCGGUUCAGACGUGGCUGCACCCCGGAGGGGGGCGCCGGCCGAGACCUGAGACGUGGCGCUCCCUCUCUGCCGGCCUCGGCUUCAGUGCUUGAAUUUCAGCCACAUCCCUAAGCUGCCAUCUCAGACCAGAGGAACAGGGAGGGGGGCUUUCUGGAAAGAACAUCACCUGGAAGAAAUCAGGACAUGACUGUGGGCCAUGAGUGACCUUCAAAGGAAAGCCGGGUAUCUGUGGUCUUUAAGAUGUGAUCCAUGACAUUUAAAAACUGAAGAAAUGGAAAGAUCAUCUGAUCAGGCCCAUCAGUCUUUUUCCUAAUGCUAAACAUUGGUACAAAGACGUGAAGUUUGAUGUCUCACUAAGAUUGCCUAGGGCUGCUUUAUUGCUCACCUACUUCAAAGUAUUGGGAAAACAUGAUUAUGGGUACAGGUGAUGCUGUGUUGCCCCCAGACAGGUUUCUUUUGUCAGGUUCUUUUGAUGGAUUAGGAACCUACAAGUGGGGAGAUUUUAGGGAAAUAGCCCCUCCACUUGGAUUUCACCAAAACGUCUUUAGGGUUCUCUUACCCCAAGAAACACGCAUUCCUCUUUAGUGUGGCAGCCCACUCUAUUGGCAAAGUUAAGCAGACCAGUUUUACUAAAAAGGAGCCACCCAGAAACUUAGACAGAAAAUACUUGAGGCACAGAUGAGAAUGAGCACAAAUGUGCAUAGCAAGUGCAGUUUCCUGGCCCUUAAACUGAAGGGCCAGGUCAGUCUGCUCCUCCAGGCACAGCCUGGGACCCCAUCAUGUGCCCCACUCUGCAGUCUGAGCUUCCACUCAAGUCCACCAGGGCCUGCCUCACAUAUAUAUACAAGACCCAAUGUCAGAGUCUGCCUCUGCCCAUGUCUGGUCAGAGGGUUGCACUUUGCCACUGCUACAUGUUCCCAGAGGUUGGCACAGCAUGACCUGGACCUCACCUAACCCAGGCAAACUCUGCUCAUCUUCGAGCUCUCUGGAACCCAUUUCUCAAGGGAGAACCACAUUCCCCCACCUCACAGCCAAGUUCAAGGAAGCAGCCUGGCUAAAGCAAUGACUCAAGGAUACCAGAAGCAGAGCACGCAUUUAAGAAGAUGCGCUGACUCGCAGGAGCAGCUGACUCUUCUUAAGAAGAGUUUACUGAUUCUUCUUUCAGUACGGGCCUUUUAAUAAGAUAUUGUAUUUUACUUCAGCUAUGGGUGCAGACAAUUAAAGGAUUCUAGAAAUCU